AAGCUACGAUGCGAAGUCGAACGAUGAAGCCUUUCGGGGUGGAUUAGUGGCGAACGGGUGAGUAACACGUGGGCAAUCUGCCCUUCACUCUGGGACAAGCCCUGGAAACGGGGUCUAAUACCGGAUACUACUCCUGCCCGCAUGGGUGGGGGUUGAAAGCUCCGGCGGUGAAGGAUGAGCCCGCGGCCUAUCAGCUUGUUGGUGGGGUAAUGGCCCACCAAGGCGACGACGGGUAGCCGGCCUGAGAGGGCGACCGGCCACACUGGGACUGAGACACGGCCCAGACUCCUACGGGAGGCAGCAGUGGGGAAUAUUGCACAAUGGGCGAAAGCCUGAUGCAGCGACGCCGCGUGAGGGAUGACGGCCUUCGGGUUGUAAACCUCUUUCAGCAGGGAAGAAGCGAAAGUGACGGUACCUGCAGAAGAAGCGCCGGCUAACUACGUGCCAGCAGCCGCGGUAAUACGUAGGGCGCAAGCGUUGUCCGGAAUUAUUGGGCGUAAAGAGCUCGUAGGCGGCUUGUCGCGUCGGAUGUGAAAGCCCGGGGCUUAACCCCGGGUCUGCAUUCGAUACGGGCAGGCUAGAGUGUGGUAGGGGAGAUCGGAAUUCCUGGUGUAGCGGUGAAAUGCGCAGAUUUCAGGAGGAACACCGGUGGCGAAGGCGGAUCUCUGGCCAUUACUGACGCUGAAGAGCGAAGCCGUGGGGAGCGAAAGGAUUAGAUACCCUGGUAGUCACGCCUAACGUUGGAACUAGGUUUGGCACAUUCACGGUUCGUCGGGCCCAACUAUCAU
rnacentral:rRNA from 1 species